CCUACGGGAGGCAGCAGUGGGGAAUUUUGGACAAUGGGCGAAAGCCUGAUCCAGCAAUGCCGCGUGUGUGAAGAAGGCCUUCGGGUUGUAAAGCACUUUUGUCCGGAAAGAAAUCCUUGAUUCUAAUACAGUCGGGGGAUGACGGUACCGGAAGAAUAAGCACCGGCUAACUACGUGCCAGCAGCCGCGGUAAU
rnacentral:rRNA from 1 species